CACCGGCGGCUCGAGUGGUGGCCACUUUUAUUGGGGCUAAAGCGUCCGUAGCCGGCUUGGCAAGUCCCCUGGGAAAUCUGGCGGCUUAACCGUCAGGCGUCCAGAGGAUACUGCCAGGCUUGGGACCGGGAGAGGUGAGAGGUACCUCAGGGGUAGGGGUGAAAUCCGUAGAUAUCGGCAGGAACACCAGCGGCGAAGGCGUCUCACUAGAACGGGUCCGACGGUCAGGGACGAAAGCUGGGGGCACGAACCGG
rnacentral:rRNA from 1 species